rnacentral:SRP_RNA from 1 species
GCUGGGUGCUGUGUUCUGUGCCUGUAAUCCAAGCGAUUAGGCUGAGGUGAGAGGAUUGCUUGAGCCCAGGAGUUGUGGGCUGUAGGGCACAGUAGGUGUCUGCACCAAGUUUGGCAUCAAUAUAGUGAUCUCCUUUGAGGGUUGCUGGUAGUGGUGGUGGUGGAUCAACAGGUUGCUGAAGGAAGGGUGAACUGGCCCAGGUCAGAAACAAAGCAGGUCAAAACUCUUCCUGCUGAUUGGUAAUGGGAUCACACCUGUGAAUAAGCACUACACUCUAGACUGGGCAACAUAGCAAAAAUCUGUCUAU